rnacentral:tRNA from 1 species
GUUUUAAUAGUUUAAUAAAAACAUUGGUCUUGUAAACCGAAAUUAAAUUUUAAUUUUUAAAACU